UACGAGGGGGGCAAGCGUUGUUCGGAAUUAUUGGGCGUAAAGGGCGCGUAGGCGGCGUUUUAAGUCGGGGGUGAAAGCCUGUGGCUCAACCACAGAAUGGCCUUCGAUACUGGGACGCUUGAGUAUGGUAGAGGUUGGUGGAACUGCGAGUGUAGAGGUGAAAUUCGUAGAUAUUCGCAAAAACACCGGUGGCGAAGGCGGCCAACUGGACCAUUACUGACGCUGAGGCGCGAAAGCGUGGGGAGCAAACAGG
rnacentral:rRNA from 1 species